AGAUUGAACGCUGGCGGCAUGCCUAACACAUGCAAGUCGAACGGGAGUAGCAAUACUCUAGUGGCGGACGGGUGAGGAAUACGUAGGAAUUUGCCCUUAAGUGGGGGAUAACCCGGGGAAACCCGGAUUAAUACCGCAUGACCUCGAAAGAGCAAAGUGGGGGAUCGCAAGACCUCACGCUUUUGGAGAAGCCUACGUCGGAUUAGCUAGUUGGUGAGGUAAUGGCUCACCAAGGCGACGAUCCGUAACUGGUCUGAGAGGAUGAUCAGUCACACCGGAACUGAGACACGGUCCGGACUCCGUACGGGAGGCAGCAGGUGGGGAAUAGUGGACAAGU
rnacentral:rRNA from 1 species